CCUCCAGUAGCUCAGCGGUAGAGUAGAGAGGAAAGAUAGGUGCGCUUUAACUCCCGAGUCUUUAUCUCCCUGUCGUCGGUUCGAAUCCGGCCUGGAGUU